CCUACGGGAGGCAGCAGUGGGGAAUCUUGCGCAAUGCGCGAAAGCGUGACGCAGCAACGCCGCGUGGGGGAAGACGGCCUUCGGGUUGUAAACCCCUUUCAGUUGGGACGAAGCUUCGUCGGUUAACAGCCGGCUGGAGUGACGGUACCUUCAGAAGAAGCCCCGGCUAACUACGUGCCAGCAGCCGCGGUAAUACGUAGGGGGCAAGCGUUGUCCGGAAUCAUUGGGCGUAAAGAGCGUGUAGGUGGCCCGAUAAGUCUGCCGUGAAAGUCCAAGGCUCAACCUUGGGAUGCCGGUGGAUACUGUCGGGCUAGAGUCCGGAAGAGGCGAGUGGAAUUCCUGGUGUAGCGGUGAAAUGCGCAGAUAUCAGGAGGAACACCAAUGGCGAAGGCAGCUCGCUGGGACGGUACUGACGCUGAGACGCGAAAGCGUGGGGAGCAAACAGGAUUAGAUACCCUGGUAGUCCACGCUGUAAACGAUGGGCACUAGGUGUGGGGGGUGUCGACUCCCUCCGUGCCGACGCUAACGCAUUAAGUGCCCCGCCUGGGGAGUACGGCCGCAAGGCUAAAACUUAAAGGAAUUGACGG
rnacentral:rRNA from 1 species